rnacentral:rRNA from 1 species
CUUGAYUGCGACCCCAGGUCAGGCGGGAUUACCCG